rnacentral:rRNA from 1 species
GGUUAAGCGACUAAGCGUACACGGUGGAUGCCCUGGCAGUCAGAGGCGAUGAAGGACGUGCUAAUCUGCGAUAAGCGUCGGUAAGGUGAUAUGAACCGUUAUAACCGGCGAUUUCCGAAUGGGGAAACCCAGUGUGAUUCGUCACACUAUCAUUAACUGAAUCCAUAGGUUAAUGAGGCGAACCGGGGGAACUGAAACAUCUAAGUACCCCGAGGAAAAGAAAUCAACCGAGAUUCCCCCAGUAGCGGCGAGCGAACGGGGAGCAGCCCAGAGCCUGAAUCAGUGUGUGUGUUAGUGGAAGCGUCUGGAAAGGCGCGCGAUACAGGGUGACAGCCCCGUACACAAAAAUGCACAUGCUGUGAGCUCGAUGAGUAGGGCGGGACACGUGGUAUCCUGUCUGAAUAUGGGGGGACCAUCCUCCAAGGCUAAAUACUCCUGACUGACCGAUAGUGAACCAGUACCGUGAGGGAAAGGCGAAAAGAACCCCGGCGAGGGGAGUGAAAAAGAACCUGAAACCGUGUACGUACAAGCAGUGGGAGCACGCUUAGGCGUGUGACUGCGUACCUUUUGUAUAAUGGGUCAGCGACUUAUAUUCUGUAGCAAGGUUAACCGAAUAGGGGAGCCGAAGGGAAACCGAGUCUUAACUGGGCGUUAAGUUGCAGGGUAUAGACCCGAAACCCGGUGAUCUAGCCAUGGGCAGGUUGAAGGUUGGGUAACACUAACUGGAGGACCGAACCGACUAAUGUUGAAAAAUUAGCGGAUGACUUGUGGCUGGGGGUGAAAGGCCAAUCAAACCGGGAGAUAGCUGGUUCUCCCCGAAAGCUAUUUAGGUAGCGCCUCGUGAAUUCAUCUCCGGGGGUAGAGCACUGUUUCGGCAAGGGGGUCAUCCCGACUUACCAACCCGAUGCAAACUGCGAAUACCGGAGAAUGUUAUCACGGGAGACACACGGCGGGUGCUAACGUCCGUCGUGAAGAGGGAAACAACCCAGACCGCCAGCUAAGGUCCCAAAGUCAUGGUUAAGUGGGAAACGAUGUGGGAAGGCCCAGACAGCCAGGAUGUUGGCUUAGAAGCAGCCAUCAUUUAAAGAAAGCGUAAUAGCUCACUGGUCGAGUCGGCCUGCGCGGAAGAUGUAACGGGGCUAAACCAUGCACCGAAGCUGCGGCAGCGACGCUGAUGCGUUGUUGGGUAGGGGAGCGUUCUGUAAGCCUGCGAAGGUGUGCUGUGAGGCAUGCUGGAGGUAUCAGAAGUGCGAAUGCUGACAUAAGUAACGAUAAAGCGGGUGAAAAGCCCGCUCGCCGGAAGACCAAGGGUUCCUGUCCAACGUUAAUCGGGGCAGGGUGAGUCGACCCCUAAGGCGAGGCCGAAAGGCGUAGUCGAUGGGAAACAGGUUAAUAUUCCUGUACUUGGUGUUACUGCGAAGGGGGGACGGAGAAGGCUAUGUUGGCCGGGCGACGGUUGUCCCGGUUUAAGCGUGUAGGCUGGUUUUCCAGGCAAAUCCGGAAAAUCAAGGCUGAGGCGUGAUGACGAGGCACUACGGUGCUGAAGCAACAAAUGCCCUGCUUCCAGGAAAAGCCUCUAAGCAUCAGGUAACAUCAAAUCGUACCCCAAACCGACACAGGUGGUCAGGUAGAGAAUACCAAGGCGCUUGAGAGAACUCGGGUGAAGGAACUAGGCAAAAUGGUGCCGUAACUUCGGGAGAAGGCACGCUGAUAUGUAGGUGAAG